rnacentral:rRNA from 1 species
GAUGAACGCUGGCGGCGUGCUUAACACAUGCAAGUCGAACGGAAAGGCCCAAGCUUGCUUGGGUACUCGAGUGGCGAACGGGUGAGUAACACGUGGGUGAUCUGCCCUGCACUUCGGGAUAAGCCUGGGAAACUGGGUCUAAUAACGGAUAGGACGAUGGUUUGGAUGCCAUUGUGGAAAGUUUUUUCGGUGUGGGAUGAGCUCGCGGCCUAUCAGCUUGUUGGUGGGGUAAUGGCCUACCAAGGCGUCGACGGGUAGCCGGCCUGAGAGGGUGUACGGCCACAUUGUGACUGUGAAACGGCGCAGACUCCUACGGGAGGCAGCAGUGGGGAAUAUGGCACAAUGGGCGCAAGCCUGAUGCAGCGACGCCGCGUGGGGGAUGACGGCCUUCGGGUUGUAAACUCCUGUCGCUAGGGACGAAGCGUUUUUGUGACGGUACCUGAAGAAGAAGCACCGGCUAACUACGUG